rnacentral:rRNA from 1 species
GAUGAACGCUAGCGGGAGGCUUAACACAUGCAAGUCGAGGGGCAGCAUAGGGUAGCAAUACUCUGAUGGCGACCGGCAAACGGGUGAGUAACGCGUAUGCAACCUACCCUGUACAGGGGGAUAACCCGGAGAAAUUCGGACUAAUAUCCCGUAAUAAUAUCCGGAGGCAUCUUUGGAUAUUUAAAGUUCCGACGGUACGGGAUGGGCAUGCGUAACAUUAGCUGGUUGGUAAGGUAACGGCUUACCAAGGCUAUGAUGUUUAGGGGUCCUGAGAGGGUGGUCCCCCACACUGGUACUGAGACACGGACCAGACUCCUACGGGAGGCAGCAGUGAGGAAUAUUGGUCAAUGGGCGCAAGCCUGAACCAGCCAUCCCGCGUGCAGGAAGACGGCCCUAUGGGUUGUAAACUGCUUUUCCAGGGAGAGAAACUUACGCACGUGUUGCGUGACUGACGGUACCCUGGGAAUAAGCAUCGGCUAACUCCGUGCCAGCAGCCGCGGUAAACUGUCUACG